GGGAGGGUUUAUAAAGUGGGAAACGUAAUCAGUUGCGCACCGCCCCCCACCCCACCUCCCGCGCUCCGCACCCAAUCAAAAGGCAGCAGGGAUGUGUUGGAUCUGAUAGUGAGUGAAUGAGUAUUAACGGAGCGCUUGCGAAGCUCAGCAGGACCGUAGGGUAGGGCUGUGCAGGGUGAGGGGGCAGCCAGCCUGAAGACGUGAGGGCUGUGGGGACCCACCCUGUGCCCCACCCACUACGCGUAGUAGGUCACCAGGAGAUCUGAGAUAAGGCCCCCCCCCCAGGUGAUGGCUUUGAUUUAUACACCCCAAAGAUGAUGUGACCGCAUGCUCAAGUGCAGACUCAGGCUGUGCCUGCAGAAUUCUGAAAAGGCAAACAGCAUCUCUCUCCAUUUUCGCAUGUAAGAUAAGAAUCGGACUUCUUGAAAAAGAAAAAAAAAAAAAAUGAAAACCCUUUCAUUUCCUUCCUCUGGGUAGGAUUAACCUUCAACAUGUUGACUCAAGCAUGAAUUAAGCAAUGGAUCCGAAUUUAGGGUUUGGUUUUUUCAAGGCUGGGGAGUGCUACCAGGGUCCUCUGGACUACAAUUUCAGGAAAAUUUAGGAAGAUGAGAAACUCAGUGAAUGAAACACUGAAGAAUUUUCUGCCAGUGGUUCUCAACCCUGGCUGCAUGGUAAAAAUAUCUGGGGUUUUGUAUUUUAUUUUAUUUUAUUUUAUUUUAUUUUAUUUUAUUUUAUUUUAUUUUAUUCUGUCUUUUUGCCUUUUCUGCGGCUGCUCCUGCAGCAUAUGGAGGUUCCCAGGCCAGGGGUCUAAUCGGAGCUGUAGCCACCGGUCUAUGCUAGAGCCACAGCAACGCGGGAUCUGAGCCUCGUCUGCCACCCAUACCAUAGCUCACGGCAACGCCGGAUCCUUAACCCACUGAGCAAGACCAGGGACUGAACCCGCAACCUCAUGGUUUCUAGUCGGAUUUGUUAACCACUGAGCCAGGACGGGAACUCCAAGGUUGUUUUUUUUUUUUUAAAUUCAGUAAAUUUUUAUUAUAUUUAUACAACCAUCAUCAACCUAAUUUUAGAACAUUUCCAUCCCAAACCCCCAGUUCACCCCUCCCUCCCCUCCACCUGUUUUUCAAAGUCUGUGAGUCUGUUUCUGUUCUGCAAAUAAGUUCAUUUAUAUCUUUUUUUUUUUUUUGAUUCUACAUAUAAGUGAUAGCACAUGAUAUUUGUCUCUCACUGUGUAACUUCACUUAGUGUGAUGAUUUCUAGGUCCAUCCAUGUUGCUGCAAAUGCCAUUAUUUCAUUCUUUUUAAUGGCUGAGUAAUAUUCUAUUGUAUAUAUGUACCACAUCUUCUUUAUUCACUCCUCUGUUGAUGGACAUUUAGGUUGCUUCCAUGUCUUUGCUAUUGUGAAUAGUGCUGCAGUGAGCAUUGGGAUGCAUGUAUCUUUUUUGAGUGGAGUUUUUAAAAAUACUUAAACCCAACUCCACAUCUGGAGGUUGUGAUACAGCUAGAGGGGCAGGGCCCCUGCAUCCGUUUUUAUGUUAUCACCCCCAGAACAGCCCAGGCACUGGUGGAAGAGAAAAUGAAUGUUAUGAGACCAGCAAGAAACGCUUCAUGUUAAAGGGCUUGCAUAAUCACUAGCCUUUACUACCUCCUUUUCCUCACACAUGACACUGAGUCACUUUCAAAAUCCUUGCUCAUGAAAUGGUUCUUAGAGCAAGCAUUUAAGUGAAAUCUCCAAGUUGGGGGGAAAAAAGCAUUCAAGAAGAUUCCAACUUAUUGAUUCAAACUUAAGCACAUUACCAAGCACUUUGGAGGAUUAGUUGUUAUCCAGUGUGUUAGCCGGGUUUGAAGAACCACCCAAUAAUUGAACACAUUAGAUGCUGAACCUGAAAGCCCGGAUCCUUAGGUUGAUAUCUUAAAUUCAGAUGACUCUACUGCAUGCCCCACUUAUGUGACAUUACUGUUGUGUAAAAUGAGUGGGACAGGGUGUAAAAAUGGUCUUUCAAAAAUGAUCAUUGGGAGUUCCCAUCGUGGCGCAGUGGUUAACGAAUCCGACUAGGAACCAUGAGGUUGCGGGUUCGGUCCCUGCCCUUGCUCAGUGGGUUAACAAUCCGGCGUUGCCGUGAGCUGUGGUGUAGGUUGCAGACGCGGCUCGGAUCCCGCGUUGCUGUGGCUCUGGUGUAGGCUGGUGGCUACAGCUCUGAUUCAACCCCUAGCCUGGGAACCUCCAUAUGCCGCGGGAGCGGCCCAAGAAAUAGCAACAGUAACAACAACAACAACAACAAAAAAGACCAAAAAAAAAAAAAAAAAA
rnacentral:lncRNA from 9 species